GUUGGGUAAUUUUUGGAUUUCAUUAAGAUGGGUUUUGAUUCAUUCCUUUUUUUUCUAUUGGGCUGUUAAGCUGGUUCUCGCGAUAUCUUCCCUAUUUUCAAAUGAAAUAUCUGACUUUGUUUUAAUUUAAGUUUUAAUAUCUGCUUGCUAUUUGAUUUCUUGGAAAUUUCUUCUCUUCUGUUGUUGAGAAUUGAGAUUGUGUCUUAUGCUUCUUGUGGGCGUUGAUGGCUUAAAUUUUUCUUUGUUUUUAACAAUAUGAAUUGUGAAUAUGCCAGGAUGAAGAGUAUUAGAGAUUG
rnacentral:misc_RNA from 1 species